rnacentral:rRNA from 1 species
UACGUAGGCAGCAAGCGUUGUUCGGAGUUACUGGGCGUAAAGGGUGUGUAGGCGGUCUUUUAAGUUUGGUGUGAAAUCUCCCGGCUCAACCGGGAGGGUGCGCCGAAUACUGAGGGACUCGAGUGCGGGAGAGGAAAGUGGAAUUCCUGGUGUAGCGGUGAAAUGCGUAGAUAUCAGGAGGAACACCGGUGGUGUAGACGGCUUUCUGGACCGUAACUGACGCUGAGACACGAAAGCGUGGGUAGCAAACAGG